GACGAACGCUGGCGGCGUGCCUAAUACAUGCAAGUAGAACGCUGAAGAGCGGAGCUUGUUCUUCUUGGAUGAGGCGAGAACGGGUGAGUAACGCGUAGGUAACCUGCCUGGCAGCGGGGGAUAACUAUUGGAAACGAUAGCUAAUACCGCAUAAAAUUGAUUAUCGCAUGAUAAUUAAUUGAAAGAUGCAAGUGCAUCACUAACAGAUGGACCUGCGUUGUAUUAGCUAGUUGGUGAGGUAACGGCGCACCAAGGCGAGGAUACAUAGCCGACCUGAGAGGGUGGUCGGCCACACUGGGACGGAGACCCGGCCCAUACGCCUUCGGGAAGGAGCAGUAGGGCAUCUGCAGCAAUGGGGGGGACCCUGACCGAACUACGCGGCGUGAGUGAGGAGGGUCUCCGGAUCGUGAAUCUCUGUUGUCAGGGAGUAACGGGUGUGAGCCUGGAAAGUUCACACUGUGACGGUAUCGUACCAAGAAGGGACGGCUAACUACGUG
rnacentral:rRNA from 1 species